GUGAGCGGCUCUGGAUUCUGAGUCCGGGCUCCGCGCGCGGGGCCGCAACCUGGGGCCCCGCAAACUGUGGCCCCGCAACCUGGGGCCCCGUGGAGAGCUGGGCUCCUCCGCAGGAAAAGGAGAAGCAAGAAUCCCGGCUGCGGGCCGGCCUGGCGCGGGGGAGGGAGGCUGCGCCUGCUCUUACGAUGUUACCGAAGCGCAAAGUGCCGGGCGGGGCUGCCUUUAAAAGGGAGACCCUCGGCGGAGGUUGAUCGGCCUCAUUACUGCCAGGUGACUGAGGGCCCCGCGGACACAGGGCUCCUCCCCCGCGUGCCCACGCGUCCACGGAUGAACCACGCGCCGUGGCCCCGGGGGAGAGGAAAGCCCUCCGUUCCCGGCAGGCGGCGGCCUGUCUGCUGGGAGAGAAUCACAGUGACGAUCCUUGAAACUAUGAGAACAAGCCAAGAUGAUGAUAAAAAAAAAAAAAGGGAAUAUGAGAGUGGAGCUCAGAAAAGAAAAAAGAAAGCUGAAAAGAGAAAAGAAAAAUCUUCAGAGAAAUGGACUUGGUUUCUUUCUGUGGCCCAACCCAUCCCCUGCAUAUUUCCAGAAGAGGGAACACAAAAGGGAAGAGAAGGAAGCCUCUACAGCUGCCUCGGGGCUUUCAUUCCAGCACAUCUGAGCCACAUCCUAAGCAGACAGCAGUUACAAGGGAAGCUUAAAGUGGAGGCUGUAUUCCACUGCAUGUUAACAAACAGUUUUGUUAUUUCUCUAACAACACGUGCAAGGUCACCUUGCAGUUACGGAAUGGAGAGUGUGUGAGUUUCCCAUUUUUAUUUUUCUAGAUGUGCCACAAGGCUGGCCUAGGCUGGGAUUGGGCACAGAACUCAGGGAGAAGAAGUAGAAACCACUUGUCUCUUGAAGUUUGCCUGCUGGUCUCCUAGCAACCGGCUCCUUGUUGGAGGCACAGUUGAGGUGUCUGGGGACCCAGAAUGUGAAGAGGCACAUAUUCGCUUUUCCACCAGAUAAUGAAUUUUUUUGUAAUUAUUACAAAUACUCCAUUUAAGCGACAGUGGCUCUCCUGCUGCCUUUCCAGGUGGAGGAGAGAGGCAAAGACCUGCCAGGCAGGCAUUGAAGUCCCUGGAGUCUCACCAUAUCACAGGCAUAGGCUGGAAGUACACCGUGUCUCACCAAACUCUGACCCAACUGGUAUCAAAGCCCUGGUUCCGCUCAGUCUCCGAGGAACGGCCUCCCGCCUGAUGCCUGACAGAGGAGAGGGGAAACGUCAGAUGGAGCCUUUACAGUCUUUUCUCAAAAUGCCUGGCAUACAAUAGAAAAUUAUCAAACAUGUGAGGAGCAAGAUCACAGAUAACUAAGCAAACAAUUAGACUAUAGAAAUAAGGUGGUCCAGAUAUGAACAGUUAGGAACUGCUAAAUAGCUGUGAUUAAUAUAUUCAAGGAAGUAGAGAGAGAAAAUGGCAAAGGAAUAGAUGGCAGAAUAGAGAAUUUUUAUCAGGCAUUUGGAAUAGAAUCAAUAAAAACAAAAAUCAAAUAGACAUUCUCAAACUGAGGAAAUACUAGAUCUAAAAUGAGAAUUCAAUGAAUGGCCGAUUGUGAUCACAAUAUACUAACUAGUGGGAAGACAGGUCAUUAUUUUAUAAAAUAUUCAAAACAAAUUAUAUAGAAGAAAAAUAUGGAAAAAUAGACAUUAAUAGUGAGACCUGGGGGUAAUUGGAGACAGAGGGAGGAACUGCACAGAAACAAUUGUUAAAGGGAUUCUGACUAAAACAUGUCCCAAACGGAUGAAAUAUACCAUCCCACAGAUUCAAAAAGCUCAGGGAACCCCAAUAAGAUCAAUGCAAACGUGUA